rnacentral:rRNA from 1 species
CCUACGGGUGGCAGCAGUGGGGGAUAUUGCACAAUGGGGGGAACCCUGAUGCAGCGACGCCGCGUGGGUGAAGAAGCGCCUCGGCGCGUAAAGCCCUGUCAGCAGGGAAGAAAAUGACGGUACCUGAAGAAGAAGCCCCGGCUAACUACGUGCCAGCAGCCGCGGUAAUACGUAGGGGGCAAGCGUUAUCCGGAUUUACUGGGUGUAAAGGGGGCGUAGACGGCGGUGCAAGCCAGGAGUGAAAGCCGGGGGCCCAACCCCGGGACUGCUCUUGGAACUGGGUGGCUGGAGUGCAGGAGGGGCAGGCGGAAUUCCUGGUGUAGCGGUGAAAUGCGUAGAUAUCAGGAGGAACACCAGUGGCGAAGGCGGCCUGCUGGACUGCAACUGACGUUGAGGCCCGAAAGCGUGGGGAGCAAACAGGAUUAGAUACCCGAGUAGUC